rnacentral:lncRNA from 1 species
GUGAGACAGGAGAGAGGAAGGGACUGCCAUUUCGGAAAAUAUCCACAUCAGGCAGCAGGUGAGCGAGUGUCGGAGAAUGUGGUGUUGAGGCUUGUGGAACCUUAUGUUGGCAAGGGGAGAAAUGUCACCAUGGACAAUUUCUUCAUUUCACUGUCUUUGGCGAACAUGUUGCUUGCAAAUAAAACAAGCCUAGUCAGCACCAUGAACAAAGCGAGACGGGAGCUCCCUCUGCGCAAAAUAAGGCACCUGCACAGCCGUUGUACUCCCCAACUGGGCUGAAGAAUGACAAGACUAUACCAAAGCAAAGCAAGAAAGAACGUUUCUGUCAUGAGCACCAUGCAUCCAACAGUUGCCAUCGACCAGACACAAUAAAGAGAAAACCGGAUACUAUUUCGCACUACAACCAAACAAAGGUUGGUGUGGAUGUUUUGGAUCAGAUGGGACCGCUGUACACUGUGAAAGGAGGCACCCGCCACAGGCCUGUUUCUGUGUUCUACAGUUGUUCUACAACAUGCUUGACUUGGAGUUGCUAUCAAUGCACAGGUGUUGUUCUAACAGUGAAUGAACAACACCAUGCCCAGGAGAGACUCCAUCAUGAGUAUAGCAUACGGGCUACGUGAGAGACAUAUGAGGGCCAAGGCAGCAGCAAAGAUUCCACGUGAGCCAAAUUGCGCACAGUUUCUAGGGAGGAGACAGUGCCAGGUGGCCAGAUGCACUAAGAACAGAACCUGUGUCACCUGCAAGCUACGUGUUUAUGAGUAGCUUUAUGCGGCGAAGAUUUAUGUCGACUGUUAGGACAAGGGAUAACAGCUAAAUUAAUUCCAACUGAUGCCAUUGCGCAGGCCAUGUCAUCAGGCUGCUGAUUAUCCCGCACAUCCGUCACCAUCGUCAAGCGCACCAGCGCCUCAUGACACUCACCUGGACUCCAUCACCUCCUUGAUUAUCUUCCCUGUAUCUGUCACUCCCCAGGGAUCUUACCUCAGGUGUUAUUGACUCUGUUUCAUGUCGGUGCGUUGUUUGAGUUUUGUCUUUAUUGGUUUGUUUAUUUAUUAAAACACUCACUCCCUGUAUUUGCUUCCCGACUCUCAGCGCACUUCUUACAGUUUUCAUCAUUUGACUGCGCGGUUUGCUGACCAUGCAUCUUUGUGGUUGGGGUAUUUUGUAAGAAACUAAUAAUUACACUGUUGGAUGUUGCAGUUGGAAUGACUGCUCGUUAGUUUAAAGGGGGGGUCCCUCCAGGCCCAGAGGUUCUAGUGUUAAUGACUGUUCA